rnacentral:misc_RNA from 1 species
UGCAACUCGACUUCAUGAAGUUGGAAUCGCUAGUAAUCGCGAAUCAGCAUGUCGCGGUGAAUACGUUCUCGGGGUUUGUACACACCGCCCGUCAAACCACGAAAGUUGGUAAUACUCAAAAACGGUAGCCUAACUUCUUCGGAAGAGGGAACCGUCUAAGGUAGGAUCGAUGAUUGGGGUUAAGUCGUAACAAGGUAUCCCUACCGGAAGGUGGGGAUGGAUCACCUCCUUUCUAAGGAAUAAUUUUUUAAAUAUUCAUCUUCAGUUUUGAAAGACUUAGUUCUUAUAAGUUUUUCUUUUUUAAGGAAAAGAAAAUGGGCCUAUAGCUCAGUUGGUUAGAGCACACGCCUGAUAAGCGUGAGGUCGAUGGUUCAAGUCCAUUUAGGCCCACCAACUGAAAAAAAGGUCUUUUUUCUAAUUCUUAAAAAAAAAGUUCUUUGAAAAGUAGAUAAACAAAGUAUUUUUAAAAAUCAAAGAAU